rnacentral:rRNA from 1 species
GAGUGGACUCCUACGGGAGGCAGCAGUGAGGAAUAUUGGUCAAUGGACGUAAGUCUGAACCAGCCAAGUAGCGUGCAGGAUUGACGGCCCUAUGGGUUGUAAACUGCUUUUGUUGGGGAGUAAAGUGGGGCACGCGUGCCUUUUUGCAUUUACCCUUCGAAUAAGGACCGGCUAAUUCCGUGCCAGCAGCCGCGGUAAUACGGAAGGUCCAGGCGUUAUCCGGAUUUAUUGGGUUUAAAGGGAGUGUAGGCGGUCUGUUAAGCGUGUUGUGAAAUUUAGGUGCUCAACAUCUACCUUGCAGCGCGAACUGGCGGACUUGAGUGCACGCAACGUAUGCGGAAUUCAUGGUGUAGCGGUGAAAUGCUUAGAUAUCAUGACGAACUCCGAUUGCGAAGGCAGCGUACGGGAGUGUUACUGACGCUUAAGCUCGAAGGUGCGGGUAUCGAACAGGAUUAGAUACCCUUGUAGUCCUGAGU